GAUGUGAUUUGUUGGAGGUUUUCGGCUGAAGGUUUUGCUUGGAUUCACAUUUGAUUCUGAAGUUUGGCAGUGAUUUCAGUUCGAUGGAGUUUGAAUUCCACGGUGAGGAUGACACUUAGGACAUGACGGAAGGCCCUCGGAUGGAGUAGACGAGGAGGCGGGAUGGACGCAUGGUACUGUCUGUUGUCUGGGAGUGCAGAGCAUACUGGUUUUUACCACGAGGGAUUUUCGUUUCUUUAUCAUUCAGGUGGGAAAUAUUGAGGAGAUAUUGUUUUUAUCGAUAAAGAUUUGUUGAUACAGUCAUGUCUAUUGGUUAUGAUAGUUUCUUGAUAGUACUGCAAUA